UACGAAGGGGGCUAGCGUUGCUCGGAAUCACUGGGCGUAAAGGGCGCGUAGGCGGCCAUUUAAGUCGGGGGUGAAAGCCCAGGGCUCAACCCUGGAAUUGCCUUCGAUACUGAGAGUCUUGAGUUCGGAAGAGGUUGGUGGAACUGCGAGUGUAGAGGUGAAAUUCGUAGAUAUUCGCAAGAACACCAGUGGCGAAGGCGGCCAACUGGUCCGAUACUGACGCUGAGGCGCGAAAGCGUGGGGAGCAAACAGG
rnacentral:rRNA from 1 species